UCCAGGCCCCUCCAGCCUUCCAAAUCCCAGAACACCAUGAGGCCUCUUUGAGGACAAAGGCCGUAGACAUCCUGUUCAAAGACCAAGCCAUAGCUUGAAGAAUGGAAUCUUUGUUUAACAAAUAUGCCUUAUGGGUAUCCUUUUACUUUGUUUUGAACUUCCUAACAUAAUAUCAGACACAUAUGCCAUUUCCUGAUUCCCUUCUGGUAAGGAUUGCAUUUUGUCCCCUCAAAAUAUGUGUUGUGUAUACUAAUCCCUAUAGGGUCGCUAUGAGUCGGAAUCAACUCGACGGCACUGGGUUUCGUUUUUUUUUUUUGGUAUACCACUUUUUAUACCUGUGGUUAUAACCCCAUUUCAGAAUGGGUUCUCUUUGUUAUGGUAAUAAGGCAGUAUUAGUGUAGGGUGUGUCUUGAGUCAAUCUCUCUUUUUUUUUUCCUUUUUCAAGUUUUAUUUUUGUUUGGAGUGAAGGCUUUUUCUUUUUUAAUUUUUAUUGUGCUUUAAGUGAAAGUUUACAAAUCAAGUCAGACUCAUACAAAAAUUUAUAAACACCUUGCUAUAUACUCCUAAUUGCUCUUCCCCUAAAGAGACAGCACACUCCUUCCCUCCACUCUCUCUUUCUUGUCCUUUUGGCCAGCUUCUGACCCCCUCUACAUUCUCAUCUCCCCUUCAGACAGGAGAUGCCAUCAUAGUCUCAUGAAUGUACUUGAUCCAAGAAGCUCAUUCUUUACCAGUAUCAUUGUCUAUCCCAUAGUCCAGUCCAAUCUUUCCAGAUUCCUCCAUGUUAUGAAAAGUUUCACGGAUUGAUUAUUGCUCUUUAUCGGUGUGUAAUAUUCCAUUGUGUGAAUAUACCAUAAUUUAUUUAUCCUUUCAUCCAUUAAUGGGCCCUUUGGUUGCUUCCAUCUUUUUGCUAUUAUAAACAGUGCUGCAAUAAACAUGAGCGUGCAUAUAACUGUUCAUGUAGAGGCUCUUCUUUCUCUAGGAUAUAUUCCAAGGAGUGGGAUUCCUGGAUUGUAUGGAGGUUCUAUUUUUAGUUUUUUAAGGAAGUGCCAAGUCGAUUUCCAAAGUGGUUGCACCCACCAGCAGCGUAUAAGUGUUCCAGUCUCUCCACAACCUCUCCAACAUUUAUUAUUUUGUAUUUUUUUGGUUAAUGCCAGCCUUGUUGGAGUGAAAUGGAAUCUCAUUGUAGCUUUGAUUUGCAUUUCUCUCAUGGCUAAUGAUCAUGAGCAUUUCCUCAAGUAUCUGUUAGCUACCUGAAUGUUUUUUUUUAGCAAAGUGCCUGUUCAUAUCUUUUCCCCAUUUUUCAAUUGGGUUAUUUGUCUUUUUGCAGUUGAGUUUUUGCAGUAUCACGUACAUUUUAGAGAUCAGGCACUGGUCAGAAAUGUCAUAGCUUAAAACUUUUUUCCAGUCUGUAGGUAAUCUUUUUACUCUUUUGGUGAAGCAUAGGUGUUUGAUUUUUAGGAGCUCCCAGUUAUCUAGUUUUUCUUCUGUAUCGUUAGUGAUGUUUUGUAUACUGUUUAUGCCAUGCAUUACGGCACCUAAUGUUGUCCCUAUUUUUUCUUCCAUGAUCUUUAUUGUUUUACAUUUUAUCUUUAGGUCUCUGAUCCAUUUUGAGCUCAUUUUUGUGCGCAGUGUGAGGUAUGGGUCUUGUUUCAUUUUUUUGCAGAUGGAUAUCCAGCUAUGCCAACACCAUUUGUUAAAAAGACUGUCUUUUUCCCAUUUAACAAGUUUUGGGGCCUUUGUUAAAUAUCAACCACUUAUAUGUGGAUGGAUUUAUGUCUGGAUUCUCAAUUCUGUUCCACUGGUCUAUGUAUCUGUUGUUGUACCAGUACCAGGCUGUUUGGACUACUGUGGCGGUAUAAUAGGCGCAAAAAUCAGGUAGAGUAAGACCUCCCACUUUGCUCUUAUUUUUCAGUAAUGCUUUACUUAUCCGGGGCCUCUUUCCUUUCCAUAUGAAGUUGGUGAUUUGUUUCUCCAUGUCAUUAAAAUAUGUCAUUGGGAUUUGGAUCAGAAUUGCAUUAAAUCUAUAGAUCACUUUCGGUAGAAUAGACAUUUUUAUAAUGUUAAGUCUUCCUGUCCAUAAGCAAGGUAUGUUUUUCCACUUAUGUAGGUCUCUUUUGGUUUCUUACAGAAGUGUUUUGUAGUUUUCUUUAUAUAAGUCUUUUACAUAUCUGGUAAGAUUUAUUCCUCAGUUUUUUAACUUCUUGGGGGGGGCUACUGUAAAUGGUAUUGAUUGGGUGAUUUCCUCUUCGAUAUUCUUUUUGUUGGUGUAGAGGAAUUCAACUAAGUUUUGUAUGUUUAUCUUGUAUCCUGAUACUCUGCUGAACUCUUCUGUUAGUUUCAGUAGUUUUCUUGAGGAUUCUUUAGGGUUUUCUGUGUAUAAGAUCAUGUCAUCUGCAAAUAGAGAUACUUUUACUUCUUCCUUGCCAAUCUGGAUGCCCUCUAUUUCUUUAUCUAGCCUAAUUGCUCUGGCUAGGACCUCCAGCACAGUGUUGAAUAAGAGUGGCGAUAAAGGGCAUCCUUGUCUGGUUCCCAAUCACAAGGGGAAUGCUUUCAGAAUCUCUCCGUUUAGGCUGAUGUUGGCUGUUGGCUGUUGGCUGUUGGCUGUUGGCUGUUGGCUGUUGGCUGUUGGCUGUGUGUAAAUGCCCUUUAUUAUGCUGCGGAAUUUUCCUUCUAUUCCUAUUUUGCUGAGAGUUUUUAUCAUGAAUGGGUGUUGAGCUUUGUCAAAUGCCUUUUCUGCAUUAAUUGAUAAAAUCAUCUGGUUCUUGUCUUUUGUUUUAUUUAUAUGAUGCACUACAUUAAUUGUUUUUCUAAUGUUGAAUCAUCCCUGCAUACCUGGUAUGAAUCCCACUUAAUCAUGGUGAAUUAUUUUUUUGAUAUGUUGUUGAAUUCUAUUGGUUAGAAUUUUAUUGAGGAUUUUUGCAUCUAAGUUCAUGUGGGAUCUAGGUUUGUAAUUUUCUUUUUUUGUGGUGUCUUUACCUGGUUUUGGCAUCAGGGAUAUGCUGGCUUCAUAGAAUGAGUUUGGGAGUAUUCCGACCUCUUUAUGCUCUGAAAUACCUUUAGUAGUAAUUCUUCUCUGAAAGUUCCAUAGAAUUCUUCCGUGAAGCCAUCUGGGCCAGCGUUUUUUCUGAUGGGAGUUUUUUAAAUUACCUUUUCAACCUCAUCUUUUGUUAUGGGUCUAUUUAGUUGUUCUGCCUCUGUGUGUGUUAGUUUAGGAAGGUAGUGGGUUUCUAGGAAUUUAUCCAUUUCUUCUAGGUUUUCAAAUUCAUUAAGGUACAAUUUUUCAUAGUAAUGUGAUAUGGUUCUUUUAAUUUCAGUUGGCUCUGUUGUAAUAUCACUCGCCUCAUUUCUUAUUCGGGUUAUUUGCUUCUUGUUCUGUUUUUCUUUUGUCAGUUCGGCCAAUGGUUUAUCAAUUUUGUUAAUUUUUUCAAAGAACCAGCUUUUGGUCUUGUUCAUUCUUUCAGUUUUUCUUCUGUUUUCUAUUUCCUUUAAGCCUGCUCUAAUUUUUAUUAUUUGCUUCCUUCUGGUGCCUGAGGGUUUCUUUUGUUGCUCUCUUUCUAUUUGUUCAAGUUGUAGCGAUAAUUCUUUGAUUUGGGCCCGUUCUUCUUUUUGGAUGUGUGCAUUUAUUGGUAUAAAUUGACCUCUGAGCAUUGCUUUUGCUGUGUCCCAAAGGUUCUGAUAGGAAGUGUUUUCAUUCUCAUUGGAUUCUCUGAAUUUCUUUAUUCCAUCCUUAAUGUCUUCUAUAACCCAGUCUUUUUUGAGCAGGAUAUUGUUCAAUUUUCAAGUGUUUGAUUUCUUGUCCCUACUUUUUCUGUUAUUGAUUUCUACUUUUAUGGCCUUAUGGUCAGAGAAGAUGCUUUGUAAUAUUUCGAUAUUUUGCAUUCUGCUAAGGCUUGCUUUAUGACCUAAUAUGUGGUCUAUUCUAGAGAAUAUUCUGUGUGCACUAGAAAAGAAAGUAUACUUGGCUGCUGUUGGGUGGAGUGUUCUGUACAUGUCUAUGAUGUCAGGCUGGUUGAUUGUGACAUUUAGAUCUUCCAUGUCUUUAUUGAGCUUCUUUCUGGAUGCCCUGUCCUUCACUGAAAGUGAUGUGUUGAAGUCUCCUACUAUUACUGUGGAGAUGUCUAUCUCACUUUUCAAUGAGCUUAGAGUUUGUUUUAUGUAUCUUGCAGCUCUGUCAUUGGGUACAUAAAUAUUUAACGUGGUUAUAUCCUCCUGGUAUAUUGUCUCUUUAAUCAUUAGUGUCCUUCCUUAUCCUUUAUGAUGGGGUUAACUUUAAAGGUUAUUUUGUCAGAAGUUAAUAUUGCCACUCCUGCUGUUUUUUGAUUUUUGUUUGCUUGAUACAUUUUUUUCCAUCCUUUGAGUUUUAGUUUGUUUGUGUCUCUAAGUCUAAGGUGUGUCUCCUGUUGGCAGCAUAUAGAUGGAUCAUGUUUUUUAAUCCAUUCUGCCAUUCUCUGUCUCUUCAUUGGUGCAUUUAGACUAUUUACAUUCAGCGUAAUUAUGGGUAUUUUUUUUAUGAAUUUAGUGCUAUCAUUUCGAUGUCUUACUUUGUGUGUUGUUGACAGUUUCUUUUUCCCACUUGAUUUUUUUGUGCUGAGUAGUUCAUCUUUACAUAUUGUCUUUUCCUCAUACUUGUUGUUGUUGAUUUGUUUCUGCUGAGUCUCCUGUUUUUUUCUUGUAUUUUAUUUUGAUGUGUAGGAUAGUUUGUCUCCUUUGUGGUUACCUUAAUAUUUACCCCUAUUUUUCUAAAUUUAAACCUAGCUUUUAUUUCUUUGUAUCGUCUUGUCUUCCUAUCCAUAGGGAAGACCUGUGACUACAUGUCUUAGUCCCUCUUUAUUGUUUUAAUAUUGUCUUCUUUUACAUAAUAACAUCGCCGUUUCUCUGUUUUGAGUGUUUUUGUAUCUUGAUUUAUUUUUGUGAUUUCCCUGUCUUUGUUGACAUCUGAUUGCUCUGUCCAGUGUCCUCGUCUUGGGUUGAUACCUGAUAUUAUUGAUUUUCUAACCAAAGAACUCCCUUUAGUAUUUCUCAUAGUUUUGGUUUGGUUUUUACAAAUUCCCUAAACUUCUGCUUAUCUGGAAAUGUCCUAAUUUCACCUUCAUAUUUGAGAGACAGUUUUGCUGAAUAUAUGAUUCUUGGCUGGCAAUUUUUUUCCAUCAAUGCUUUAUGUUAGUCAUCCUAUUGCCUUCUUGCCUGCAUGGUCUCUGCUGAGUAGUCCGAGCUUAUUCUUAUUGAUUCUCCUUUGUAGGUGACUUUUCAUUUAUCCCUAGCUGUUCUUAAAAUUCUCUCUUUAUCUUUGGUCUUGGCAAGUUUGAUUAUAAUAUGUCUUGGUGACUUUCUUUUAAAAUCUACCAUAUGUGGAGUUUGAUGAGCAUCUUGGAUAAAUAUCUUCUCAUCUUUCACAAUAUCAGGGAAGUUUUCUGCCAAUAAAUCUUCAACAAUUCUCUCUGUAUUUUCUGUUACCCCUCCCUGUUCUGGUACUCCAAUCAUUCGUAGGUUUUUUCUCUUGAGAGUCCCACAUGAUUCUUAAGCUUUCUUCUUCUUCUUUUUUAAUUCUUUUAUCUGAUUUUUUUCAAAUAUAUUGGUGCCAAGUGCUUUAUCUUCAAGUUCGUAAUUCUGCCUUCCACUUGCUCAAUUCUGCUCCUCUGACUUUCUAUUGAGUUGCCUACUUCUGUAAUUUUAUUGUUAAUCUUCUGAAUUUCUGAUUGCUGUCUAUGGAUUUUUCCAGCUUAUUAAAUUUUUCAUUACUUUCCUAAAUAACCUUUUUAAUUUCUUCAACUGCUUUAUCUGUGCGUUCUUUGGCUUGUUCUGCAUAUUGCCUCAUUUCCUUCCUGAUGUUUUGAAGGGUUCUGCAUAUUAAUCAUUUGUAUUGUGCAUCUGGUAAUUCCAGGAAGGCACUUUAAUCUAGAAGAUCCAUUGAUUCUUUGUUUUGAGAGCUUGUUGAGCCAAUCAUGCUCUGUUUCGUUAUGUGACUUGAUAUUGACUGUUGUCUCCGAGCCAUCUAUAUGUUAUUGUAUUAGGUUAUUAUAUCCUAGUUUCUUGCUUUGUUUUGUUUUGAUAUGCCCAGAUGUGUUGCUUGAGUGAGCCAGCUUGAUUAUUUUUGCCUUUGGAGCUCUGACAUCCUGUCACCAGAUGGCUAGAGGUGUUAUCAGUUAUAUGAGCUGAUGAGUCCAUUCAGUUUUCUUGUGUGGAUUCAGCUCAGGUGUCCAGGUAGCUGGUCAUCAAGUGUGUGGUACAGGCUCUGUCCUACAGUCUUUGUGGGGCUGGGGUGUUUGGUGUAGGUACUGGUAUCUGGUUGCAGCAGGGGGUCAUGCUCUGAACAAGGCAGGGGGUUGAGAGCCAUCCCCCAAGUGUCUCUGAGGAAAGUGCUUCCCUUUUCCCUAGAGCAUACAGGUGGCUGAGUUCUGCAGACAGACCAUGGGCAUCCAAUGCUUUUGGUUGUAAGGACUGGGAGCUACUAGUUAUCCUUGGACCCCUGUUGUGGGUGGCUGGGUGACCUGCGUGGAGCCACCAGUCCUUAUGCCCCUGAUGUGGGUAGGCGAGGACCCUGUUUAAUAGGCAAAGCGGUGUCAAAUAUCAAACACCCACCUCUCCACUGCACAGCUUAAAUAGUUGCAGUCUGCCAGCAAGAGCCUAUUCUUCUGAAAUAGGCCCACACAGGUCCACGCAGAGGGGAAAGGUAUUUAAAGUCUACAGACUGUUUAUGCCUGGACAGGAGCUGCUCCAGUCCUGAGCUCCCCAGGUUAGUACUUAAUAUAGUGGAGCUGGCUAAUUAUCUUUUCCCCGUGUUGAAAUUUUAUUCCUUCUCCAAGUCCAUGAGCAUGGCUCAGGGUGCUCAGAUGGCCUAUCUCAGGCCCAGGGAAAUCAACAGCCACUGAAGCUGGCUUGGGGGCAGGGGGUAUGGUAAAAUACAGUCAAGUACUUAGCUUUUGCCAAGAGCGCUAUUCUUUUUCUGGUUCCAGAGGUAUGAUUAGGCUAUCCAGCUGGCUGCUUCUCCCUGAGAAAAUGGUGACUGAAUACUACCACCAGCCCAACACACCCGCUCCCAGAGGGAUCACCAGAAGCAUCUGGCUAUUCUGCCAACUUGGCCCAACCUCCAAAGUUAGUCUCUUUUGAGAUAUAAAAGGAGAAGAUUAGGCAAGCACAGAUGAAGGAAGAUAGAUGCCAUACCACAAGAAGAUCACCAAGAAGUCAAGGAACAGAAGCUUAAGAGACAAGGACCUUCCCCAAGAGAUGACAGAGAAAGCCUUCCCCUAGAACUGGUUCCCUGAAUUAGGACUUCUAGCCUCCUAAACUGUGAGAAAAUAAAUUUCUGUUAAAGCCACCUCUUGUGGUAUUUCUAUUAUAGUAGCAAUAAACAAGAUACCUUCAUUCAGCAAUAUUGUUACAGUGUAACAUGCUUUUCCAUCUGCAAAAUUUUAGAUAUACAGAAGAGCUAAAUUAAAGGAUGGUUAUUUGCUUUAGAGGGUCAGAGAAAAAGAGGAAGACCUUCAGUGAGAUAGAUUGACACUGUGGCUACAACAAUGUGCUCAAACAUAGCAGCCGUGAUUGUGAGGAUGGUGCAGAACCAGGCGAUGUUUUGUUCUGUUGUACAUAGGGUCGCUACGAGUCAGAGCCAAUUUGAUGGACAACUAACAAUAUUUGCUUUAGAAAAUAAUUUGGCGUACCAUUCCUAUAGAUUUUGAGCUCCCCUGCAAUACUGAAGAGGAUCCAAGGCACUUACAACUUUUUGGUACUGCAUUAAAUGAAGUCCCUUUGUAUUAAUCCUCCCCCCACGUGUCCUAGAUCAAUGAGAAAAGAAGCCACUUUACUUACUGCAAUGAGGUAAGUAAUCUGCAGACUGCCCUGGCUGCUGAGAGAAGUCCUCAGGGUACUUUCAUCUUGACAGUCAGAAAUCUUUCAUUAAGGAUGAGAGGAUUCGGUGAUAACAAGAUACCCAACUUACCAUUUCUUACAACAGGAAAGCUCAGUCUUUAAUGAAGGGAGCUAAUUGCUCUGGGUUGGAGGGCAGAAGUAGCCUGAGAGAAUUGUGAAAGUGUAAUGAGUUGUGGGGGAGGUGGUAGGCCAGGAUGGGGGAAAGUAGAGAGAAGGAUGAGUAAACAAGGCUGAAUCACAGAUGGCCACACUGAGUAUGGAGGGUGCUGGUUAAAGGUGAUCAUGGGGAGAGUUGCUGGGGGCACUCAAGGCUGUGCCAGCUCUUGAAGGAGCAUAGAACACAGCCAGAUGGAGACCAUGGAAAGCAGACCUACAGGUGGCUGACAGAGCUGUGGGUGUGGUAGAUGAUGUGAAAGCUGCCACAUUGCAGCAACUGAUAUCCAUAGGUGAGCUCCUGAAAGCUUGGGCAGGUUGCAUUAAUUAAAAACUGGGCAGAACAAAGAGACACAGGUUGGCUCCACCAUCAGAAAAUUUCAGGGGGGAUUCCUGCAGAGUUCCUUCAGAAGAUUCCCUUCCAUAGCAGCCAUCUCAGCUACAGGAGAGGAAGCUUUCAAGCAAGGGAAGGAUUUAGGAGGACUCAUUACCUUAAACGGACCUUUGAUUAAGGAAGCAAGUGGACACAUCAACCAGGCUAUCAUGCUUGCACGAGGAGCCAAGCUCAGGGUGAGCCUAAUGUGAUGAGAUCUAAAGCCAAAACAUGUUAUUGCACUUAGAGGUCAUUCUCAGAAGCAAUAUUAUCAACAAGCAUAAGGGCACACAUACAUAGGCUUUGGAGAGGGAUAGAGUAGCCACACUGCCUUAGGGACUGCCUAAAACAAAUCCAAGAACUGUCCAGAUGAAUACUGCCUUCAUGCCAUAAAUACUUAUCUUGCAUGCCAUCUGAUUAGUUUAACUUUCUAUGUCUUGGAACUUAGGUUCUUCAUGCUCUGAAGAGCAUCUCCCCUACAGCCUCAAGCCAUCGCUGCCUCUUCCACAUAUGACCCCCUGUGGCUUGCCUUUUGCAUAGCCAUGGAUGCCAACACUCAUGGCAAGGUCCAGAGAGACUUUAAAGAAGUGGCAGUCAGCAUAUUUCAGACUUCUGUCUGCAGUAUUACAGGACAUUAUUUUUUAUCUCAUCCUGGAGAAUCUAGAGCUUUAGUAAUAAUAAACAACUUGAAUAUAUAUGUCACUGAGCAACUACAAAAUCUCAAAGCUAAUUUGCAUGUAAAAAAAAUCUCAUUACUGCUCUGAAUCAGCUCCUUAAGAGCAAGAAAGGUCCAUUCACUUCCUUUGUAGUGUGACAAACACACUCAAGAUCAAUUACAGUGUCAAUUGCCCUAUCAGGAGGGAAGAAUCUAAAAAAGGUGAUCUCCUGGAAUUUAUUCAAUGACAUAAAUAAAGAUUAGCUAAAGAUCUGACUAUAUUGAAGUCUUGACAGAAAUUAGAACAAAAAGCUUUUGUUUCAUAGACACUGUUUAGUCUUUCUAAAGUGGAUAUACAAAUAAAAGCUCUGUGAGAUCUAGCCGUCUCCGAAGGCCCUGCUGCCCAGCCCAGCUUGGAGUGUUCUGGCACCCUCCAUUCUCACUGGUCAGCGGCUGAGUGAUUAAUGGUCACCACUGUCCUUUCUCCCUUCACCUUGGUUCCUCCAGCUACAGCAAUAGCUCAGUAAGUAUUCAUUUGUCUCUGCAAGAUUAAGUGAAGUGCAGUGGCUUCUCUUCAAAACAUGACUUGGUUUUAUUUUUCUUCUUAAAUUCUCCUUUUCCUUCUCCAUGCCCCACAGGAUAUUGUGCAGACCUCUCUCUGAGGUCUGGAAAAUCUGCGUUGCUCCACUGAGCUGUGUUAUGACACUUUGAGUCUCGCCAUUAAGCCAAUAUUUAGAAGUGCAAUUUAAAAAUGGCAGUAGUUCAAGUCUUCUUGUCAGGUAGAUGAAGCAGCCAACUGAAAAACUGAUCAGUGGCGAGGAGUUCACAGUGUCCCACCUCAAGUCUUCAGAGAUUUAUUAUUGUAAACAGACUCUUUAGCAUCCCACCCAAUGGUGCUAUGGAGCUGUGCAGGGAGAAAUGUACCUCAGGAAAUGAUCCCAGGCCCUAAUCAAAUAUUCAGGGCAGAAGUUCCCCCUACCCUGCAACAACAACAACAAAAAAAGCCAGGAACUAUACCACCAUGGCCCAAGAGUAUUCUGCAAAGGACAAGCUAAAUAUGUGUUGUUCACUACCUUUACACUCCUAUCCUAUCCCUCUAGUUUGAGGGCAAGGAAAUUUUAUUAAGGUAGAAAAGGAAGAGACUUAGACGUAAUUCACAGGGCAGAGCAACCCAGAGCACAGGAAGGAGGAGAAAUUUGCGAGUAUGGAGAAUAAGUAAGACAUCCUGUGGAAACAGAGUUUGAGCGCCCUGGACCACCAGUGCUAGUGUACACAGUAGCAGCAGAUUUUGUUUAUUCUUGUGGCUGUCGUAAAAUUUUACAAAGGGAUCGAUAAUAGCAACCUUUUAGGAGUCUGUGGGUAAAACUCCUUGGAGUUCUAUAUCUCUUUUCAUGUGUUUUCAGUGUUAACUCCCUACAGCCUUGCAUUCAGGAGGACUUAAGGGCAACCACUCUCAUAUCCCUGGGAUGCGGUUAGGUAUGGGUCUAGACUCUCCCUGUUCGUGCAGGUGUUCUGACGAACGAGGCACCUUCUAUGUGGAGAAAGACACAUUUUUACCUGGCUUCCACUCUCCCACUUUCCAGAGGUGGACAGGGUGAGGAGCUAAUAGGAAGGCGUCUGACCCAGUUCCUCCCAGGUUUUGAUUGUGAUAAUCAAGUUGACUUCACUUGGAUGAGUAAAGCGGCAUGUAUUGACUGUUGGGCAAGGAUUGUGGAUCAUCCACAGCCACUUCCCCUUUCCUGCUGUAGUGGAUUCUGGACCACUUUUGGUUAGGCUGAACUUAGAUGCAUUCAGACACAUGGGUAAUUAAGAGCCCAGCAUCGGCUGUACAAAUGUGUGAGUUAGCAUGUACAACUAAGUUCAUAACAUCAAACAUCUGGAUAAAAACUGAAUUUUUUUUUUCAUGCAGGUACUUGACAUUGCAAAGUCAAAGGAUAUGGGUUUUCACUAAAUUUUCCACUAAUGUUAUCAAUUUGACAUUAAACUUUGAGAUUUAUAUAAUUUUAGAACUAGAAGAGGCUUUAAUCAGUAUGUAGUUUGAUGGUUCCUGCACUUGUAAGUCAAGAACCCCUUUGAGAAACUGAUCAGAGCUACUCAUCCCCUUUCCAGAAGGAAAACACAAUUUUGUGCCCAGGGCUGCCAAGUGGCCUUUGACAUGGCAACACAUUUAUAUCCAUGAUAUCUAAUUGAUUUGAGCUUUUUAUGAUAGAAACAUGUGUUAAAAACUUUGACUUACCAAAGUACCAAAUUAAAUCCAAGCUCACAUAGCUAAUGUUGCCUGGCAACGGUAGGCCUGGGUCAAAAUUCUCUAAGACUCUUUGAGUGGAAUUCACAUUGCAUCAUUUCCUGUGUCUGUAAGUCAGUGACUCCACCUUUGGCAAGGUCUGCAUCACUGAUGCUGUCUGUCUGUGUCAGCAAGAAAAUGGUUACAGAUUCACAUUUCAAGCAUGAGGUUGUCUGAAAGAAGUGACUUUCGGUGCAGGAUUUCCAGGCCUUGACCUGGUUCUGCCUGCAGAGAAUCGAGGAGGUGUUGCCACUCUGGGCUGUUGCUGCAGAAGCAAUUUCUCCAGCGUUAGAAACUUUCAUAGCUGUCCAGCCACAUCCAGUCUCCUUUUGCAGGAAGAUAUCUCGGCCAAAAGAACUCAGAGUUUUUCAACAGUGUCCAUUAUGAUGAUUGGAGAGCCUUAAAGAGGAAGAUCAGCUCUAUUUAUGGCCUGUAAGCCAAGCCAGGAAUGAACCUCCAAGCUUCAUAAAUCAUGGCCAGACCAUUUCUUCACAGAAUAUUUUUAGAAGGUGGUGACUCAAGGCCCUGAUAGACUCUCGGGAGACAAUGAUGAGCAAAAACACCCUACUUUCUCCUCCCCUUGCUUCCCCCCAAACACCUUAGAACUUACCAUCCAGUCAGGGUUAUCCAAAUAAAAGUAAAGGUCCAAUUGUGAAAAUUACAAUAAUGGAAAGUAUAUUGUACUAUAUAACUCAUCUAUUAAGAGACCUGGUUUAAUCUGAGAGGUUUGAUAAACAUUUCCCUGAGAAAGUGACAGGAGUUAACAUCUGAGAGGACGGGUAAGGUGGGUGAGUGGCAGCAGGGGUGUUGCAGAAAGGAGCCUCAAGACUGAGGGAACAGCAUGUGCUAAGGUCCUGGAUUGGGAGAAAAGAUAGCAGGUUCAAGGUCAGGCUCUGUGGGCAAAGUUAAAUAUUAAUUUUUAUCCUGAGAGCAAUGAGAAGUUAUUGGAAAGUUUCAAGAAGGAAGAUGACAGUAUCAAACUUGCAUUUUGAAAAGAUUAUUCCGUCUGCAACAGGGAGAGUGGAAUGUAAGCAUCCAGAAUGGACGGGUGUGGAUGGCCAGUCAGGAAUUGCUGCAGUAACCUAGGUAAGAGGAAGGGAUAGCCUGGACUAGGGUAGGAGACAUGGUGAGAAAUGGAUGGAUUGGACAUAUUUAGAAAUUACAAUUGUCAUGACCUGGUGAUGGAUUGGAUUUGGGAACAAGGGAGCAGUGACAGGCAUAGCAUUCAGUUUCUGGCUUACCAUGUCUUUACCCAAAGAAUGCAACCUUCCACAUUUGUUUGCCAACCUUUCCCUCUCCCAGCGAGGUAUUUUUUAAGUGUUAUGCUCAUUUAUUUAUUUAUUUACAGCAACAUGUAAGGAAAAAAAAUUGGCAUAGUGGCAAUUACAAAAAUACCUAGUGACAGGAAGAAGUGGCUGGCAAACAACUGUAGAAGGCAUGCAUUAUUUGCAUAAAAUAUAGUAUAGAACUGUAUGGAUGAUGGGUCUUCGCCUAAGGUGGGAAAACUGAAGGAGAAGAGGUUUUGGAAUAUUGCCU